AGUAUCGGCUGAUAAAAGCUAUUAUUUUCACUAUCUAUAUGUAACUAACCCUCAGUUAUUUUAAUUAGUUUUGCAGAUUAAUACAUAAUUCUGAUAUUUAUAGUAAUUCUAUAUUUUAAUUAAUAAUAGUUUGGUUUAUUUUAUUUUGGAAUGUUAUUUUCCCCGCUUUAAGUUAUUAUGCCUAGAGACCUUUACUUUGAAAGGCGGCUUGGCGGAAAUGAAAAAACUGACCGCUUGAGUGAACAGGCGCAUACACGGAAGAUCGCAGACAGACGGAGACAUGGAACCAUGCGGUUACGGAUUCACGGAGCGUGAUAAUAGUAUUAAGGAUACUUUAAAGUAAAUUAGGCAUCUAGUCUCUAUUUGUUGUUUUAUUUUUGUAGUAUCUUUCUUUAUUGUUUAGCACCUGGUUGGAAAGGAGAACAAGGUAUCCAUGUAUAUUUAUACUUACAUAGAUAUAGUGUACUUUGUCUUUUUUAUUGUUUUAUAUGUAUUUGCUUGAUUUAUGAGUAAUUUUAUGUUGUUUAGGAUAAAUGUUAGUAUUAAUUUCGUAAUUUUUUUGCUAUAUGGUCAAUUGUUUUGUUUCAUUUACAUGAAUGUGAAUUAUUUACAAAUUACAAUAUUGUUUAUUCAUCUGUUCUAGCUCUUACGGUGUUGUGACGGUGUUGUGACGGUGUUGUGGAAUUAAUAAGAACAAUAAACAAAGAGAAGAAAUAGUACAACAUCAGUGGAGGAGCUAAAUCCUUUAUUAUUUCAACCGGGCUGUUACAGUAAGAGCUUGAUUCCAUUUGCUGAUGUAAAGGAUGACAGACCAAGAAUCCAAGUUGUGCACUCCUGUGAGAGAAACUGAAGUAUUAAAAACUGCACAAAACAAAGAUACAGAUGAUGAGAUAGAAGAUGAAUCUGAAGUUGUAAAGACAGAUGAAGUACGUCGUUCUGUCCGUGAACGAAUUCCAACAGAAAGGAUGCUCUCAUAUCAAAAGGAGGAGUCACAAAAGGCAGAGAGAAAGCUUAUGCAGGCAUAUGAAAAAUGGAAAGCUGAGGCGCGAAAGGCAAGAGGGCAGCUGAAAACAGACAUUUCAGACACUCAACUAGCAACACUUAUAGACACAUUGGAAAGGGAAAGAGACGGUGUGAUGAAUGCAUACAUGAAAGUUCGAAGUUAUGUUACUCCAUCUACUGAUACAAGAAGGCGAAUUGAUGCAUGCGAUGCUGUGACAAAAGACAUCGUUAAGAUUGCUUAUGAGAGGAUUUCAGGUGUUGAUGGGGACUUCGACGGUGAAAGAGUAAGAGAGCGUCUUCGUGAAUUGCUUGAUAGAGAUUAUGCUCGCUCUGUCUACGGUUCUACGGUCUCACGUGUCAGCUCCAAGCCAAGUACGCCCAUAAGUCAACCUUCACUGAACUCCAUCCUGAUGGCCAAACGAAUAGAGGCAGCAGCAGAGCUUGCAGCUAAGGAAGCAGAAUAUGCAACGAUACUGGAGGAAAAGGAACAAAGGGAAAGAAUACAACUUCUAGAAGAAAGGCAAAGGAGAGAACUUGAUGCUCAAAAGAGUGAGUUUGAAAGACUACAAGCAGUAAAGGAGGUAAGAGCAGCAAGAGCAAGACUAGAAGUGUAUGACAAGGAAGAAACCAUUCACUCUGCUAACCAUAACGAUGGGCUGCAGCGACCUGUAAGCAUUCCCACACAAGAACCUGUGCAUUCAUCCUCGAAUAAGCCAACACUCAAUGAAAAAGCAUCAUCACUACCUCCCAAUGCUGAUGUGUCUUACCUCGUGCAGGCUGUCCAAGACAGUAUAACUCUGAACAGGCUUCCUAUGCCAGAGCCUACAGUCUUCAGUGGUGACCCCAUUCACUUUAUUGAGUGGAAAGCUUCAUUCCAAUCACUCAUUGACAAAAGACAUAUCUCCUCAGCAGAUAAGUUAUACUACUUGAAGAAGUAUGUCACUGGUUCUGCUCGGAAAACUCUAGAAGGCAUCUUUUACAGAAACGAUGAAGAAGCUUACACCGAUGCAUGGAAAAGACUUCAAGAUCGCUAUGGACAGCCAUUCAUUAUACAAAGAACAUUCAGAGAGAAGCUCGCAAACUGGCCCAGAAUCCAGCCCAAGGACGCUGAAGGACUCCGAAAUUUCUCAGAUUUCCUGAAUGCAUGUAAAGACGCUAUACCUCAUGUUAAGGGACUGGAAAUACUGAAUGACUGCGAGGAAAAUAGGAAACUUGUAAACAAACUUCCUGACUGGGCGGCUGCCCGUUGGAAUCGUCAAGCUACGCAAAUGCUGAGUGAGACUCAAGAUUUCCCAACUUUCUGCGAUUUUGCUAACUUCAUGUCAGUUGAGGCCGAGGUAGCCUGCAAUCCAGUCACUUCCUUCUAUGCUCUUCAUGCUUCUGAAGCUAAUAAGGAGAAACAUAACCUCAAGGUUGGUAAGAACAAAGCCAAUGUCUUCCACACAAAGUUAGUCACACAGCAUGAUAAUCCGAAGCCCACUAGUAAAGUCUCUAAACCAUGUCUGUUCUGUCAAAGCAGUGAACAUCAAAUUCAUAAUUGUUCUAAGUUCUUUGCAAAGUCUCUUGAAGAACGGAGAAAGUUUAUAAAGGAUACUAAGCUGUGCUACGGAUGUUUAAAGCUCGGUCACAGUGCCAGAGACUGUCGUUCCAGACAUAGCUGUGAUACCUGCAAGGGAAGACAUCCUACCUGCUUACAUGAUGACAGCUUCAUUAGAAAGGUGAAGUCCUCCUCUGUUCAAAGCCCAGAGAAUGCUCAUGAGAGGGUCGUGACAGCAUCUUUAAGUGUAGAAUCUGGAUGCACAUCUGUUAACACCUCAAUGAUCGUGCCAGUGUGGUUGUCCUCACAAAAUGACCCAGUUUCUGAGAAACUUGUCUAUGCUCUGUUAGACACACAAAGUGACACUGUCUUCAUUGAAUAUGCAGUAAGUCAAGGUCUAAAGGUUGAUUCAUGCCCAGUGACACUUAAGCUCACUACUAUGAUUGGGAAGGAUUCAUUGAUAUCUAGUGAACGAGUUUCUGGUCUUAGAGUCAGAGGCUUCAAUUCCCCAAUAGUUCUAGAGCUACCCCCUGCAUACACUAAGGAAUGUAUCCCUGUGGACCGCGCACACAUCCCUACAAGUGAGACUGCCAGGUGUUGGAAACAUCUUGCUCCUUUAACAGACAUAAUUCCCCCACUUCAAGAUUGUGAGGUUGGUCUAUUAAUAGGAUAUAAUUGUUCUAGAGCUUUAGCGCCCAGAGAAGUGAUUCUUGGAGCAGACAACGAGCCAUAUGCUGUUCGCACAGAUCUCGGAUGGAGCAUUGUGGGCCCUUCCUCGACACAUCAUGAGACACAAAGUGUAAGCAUAUGUCACAGAGUAUCAAUUAAGGAAAUUCCUUCUGUAACGCCAGCUGAUGUGAUCAAAGUGCUGGAGUCAGAUUUCAAGAGUACUGAAGAAAACACAAGAGUGGUGUCUCAAGAGGACAUUAUGUUCUUGAAUAAACUGGAAGAAAAAAUCAGAAUGAACAAGGACAGCCACUUGGAAAUGCCCCUUCCAUUCAAGAAAAGACCCUGUCUUCCAGAUAAUGAGCCUCUUGCUGUCAUAAGACUUCAACAUCUAAAGAGUAAAUUAAUGAAGGACCAGGAGUACAGAGAGCAUUACGUGAAGUUCAUGGAAGAAGUAAUAGGGAACGGUGAAGCUGAAAGAGUCAUUGAUGAAGGAAGGAAGGGAGAAAAAUGGUACAUCCCUCAUCAUGGAGUAUAUCACUCAAAGAAGCCAGGUAAACUGCGAGUGGUUUUCGACUGCUCUGCCAGAUACAAGGGAACCAGCUUGAACGAUCAUCUUCUUACAGGCCCUGACCUGAUGAACAGCCUGACUGGCAUUCUUUUGCGGUUUAGACAGUAUCCAGUGGCCUUAAUGUGUGAUAUUGAGAGGAUGUUCCACCAGUUCCAUGUUGACAAAGCAGAUCGAGAUUAUUUACGAUUUCUUUGGUGGAGAAAUGGAGAUUUCGACUCACAGCCUCAAACAUUCCGUAUGAGAGUACAUCUGUUUGGUGCCUCGUCGUCCCCUGGGUGCGCAAACUACGGACUAAAACAUCUUGCGAGAGAAGGUGAACAUCUGUACCCCCUUGGUUCGCAAUUCAUUAUGCGAGAUUUCUACAUGGAUGAUGGAGUCUCCAGCACUGAAAGUGCAGAGAAGGCCAUCCAGUUGGCUCAAGAAGCUCGCCAGCUUUGUGCACUAGGAGGUUUAAGGUUGCAUAAGUUUGUGUCUAACGAUAGGGCAGUUUUGGAGAGCAUGCCACCCUCUGAGUGUGCUGUAGAUGUUACAGCUGUCAAUCUUUCCCUCACUGACCAGCCUUUGGAAAGAGCCUUGGGCAUUUACUGGCAUCUGGAACAGGAUAACUUCAGAUUUCGUGUCAAUCUAAAGGACCAGCCAGCAACCCGUAGAGGCAUACUGUCUACAGUGGCCUCGUUAUUCGACCCCUUGGGGUUUCUUGCGCCAUUCUUGCUCAAAGGAAAGGCUGUUCUUCAAGAAAUGUGCAGAAAUGGCAUGGGCUGGGAUGAUCCUUUACCUGAUGGUUUGCAGCCAAGGUGGGAGCAGUGGAAGGCUGAUCUUGUUAACUUAGAUAAGAUCGAGGUGCCUCGUUGUAUUGUGCCUGCUGGGUUUGGGAGAAUCACAACAAGAGAGAUUCAUCACUUCUCGGAUGCUAGCACGAGAGGAUAUGGCCAGUGCUCAUACCUUAGGCUUGAGAACGAACAAGGUGACAUCCAUUGUUCUUUGCUCAUGGCAAAAUCUAGAGUAGCCCCACUUAAGGUCACAACAAUCCCUCGGUUAGAGUUGACUGCUGCGGUUGUGUCAGUUGCUGUGAAUGAUAUGCUUAAGGAAGAAAUGAACCUUGCAGAUGCAGAGGCAUAUUUCUGGACUGACUCUCAAGUGGUGUUAGGCUACAUAAACAACGAAGCUCGCCGCUUCCAUACGUUCGUUGCAAAUCGAGUUCAGAGAAUUCAUCGCAGUACAACUCCUGAACAGUGGCGAUACAUUUCCUCUGAUGAAAAUCCAGCCGACUAUGCAUCACGAGGUAUGAGUGUUAAUGAUCUGGUUACUUCCAGCUGGUUCAGAGGACCGAAUGUCUUGUGGGAAAGGCAAAUACCUCCGCCUGUGGAUGUGAACACACAACUUCCUAUUGGAGAUCCAGAGGUCAAGAAGGCUCAGUCACUGAACACCCAAACAGUACAGUAUUCCUGCUUAUCCAACCGUCUCAUAAAGUUGUCCUCAUGGUCCAAAGUCAUUCAGGCAGUAGCACGUCUAAUUCGUAGAGUCAGGAAGGACAAAUCAAGUGACCACAGUACCGUGGCAGAACGUGAGAAUGCAAAGUGCAUUAUCAUUAAGGAUUUACAGAAUCAGAUGUAUGCAGAAGAAAUAGCCUUACUCCGUAAGGGCAAGCAACUCCCACACAGCAACAGGCUAUACAAUCUAGACGCCUUUGUCGACCAUGACGGAUUGCUCAAGGUGGGAGGAAGACUUUGCAAUGCUUCUCUCUCUAACUCAGUUAAACAUCCAGUGAUAAUUCCAAAGGAACACCAUCUUACAAAACUUCUGAUCGCUGAUUGUCAUGAAAAAACUGAGCAUCAAGGAAAGGGCUUGACUAUAAAUGAGAUCAGAUCAAGAGGAUUUUGGAUAACAGGAGUAAAUAGGACUGUAGCCUCCUUUGUACGACAGUGUGUGAGAUGUCGCAAGUUGCGCAGGCCCACAGAAGAGCAAAAAAUGGCUAACCUGCCCUCCGAGCGUAUAGAUCCAUCUCCUCCAUUCACGUACUGCGGAAUGGAUGUUUUUGGCCCUUUUAAUACCAGACAAGGUCGUAAAUCAUUCAAGAGGUAUGGACUUCUCUUUACCUGUUUCUGUUGCAGAGCCAUCCAUAUUGAGAUGCUGGAUGACAUGUCCACGGAUACGUUUAUCAAUGGCCUGCGUUGUUUCAUCGCUAUCAGAGGAUCAGUCCGUCAAAUAAGGUGCGACCAAGGCAGUAAUUUCAUUGGCGCCAAAAAUGAGUUUGCUAAGGCCAUGAAAGAGAUUGACACCAACCGUCUGGUAACAUUCUUAGCAGAAAAACAAUGUGACUUUGUCUUUAACGCACCCCACUCAAGUCACACAGGAGGAGUUUGGGAGAGACAGAUUAGAACUGUGAGAAAUGUUCUACAUUCCAUUCUGUCCCUAUCUUCUGGAAGGCUUGAUGAUUCUUCCCUUCGGACCUUCUUCUACGAAGCAAUGGCAAUUGUAAAUAGCCGACCGCUCACAGUAGACAAUCUGAAUGAUCCUAAAAGUCCUGAACCCCUUACCCCAAAUCACCUUCUCACACUGAAAACUACCCAAGCCUUACCACCUCCUGGCAAGUUUGUCAGAGAAGAUAUAUAUGCUCGCAAGAGAUGGCGACAUGUCCAAUACUUAGCUGAGCAAUUUUGGGGCCGUUGGCAGAAGGAAUAUGUGUCUAACAUUGCAACAAGACAAUGCUGGCUUACACCAAGAAGGAACAUGCAAGUUGGGGAUAUAGUUCUGGAGAAGGCAGACGAUCUGCCCAGGAAUGAGUGGCGUUUGGCAGAAGUUAUUGAGACUGUCGUUGACAAGGAUGGUUUGGUGAGAAGAGUGAAGAUACGUUUUGGUGACAGAAAACUGGGGAAGGAUGGUAAACGUCUGCACAAGCCAUCAAUAGUUGAGCGGCCAGUGCAGAAGCUGGUCCUGUUGCUGGAAGCAGCUUAAACUCCUUGACAUAUCCUUUGAGUAAAACAGUUCAUAAUAGAAUAUGCUUGGUUCUUUGUUUUCCUUAAAUCUAGGCUAAGUAACAAUGGCUAAUUCAUUAAAAAAAAGGAGAGAAAUCAUUCAUGAUUAAAGUUUAACAAUUUAGUCCCUCAUGAUUUGGUGGGAGUGUAACUAACCCUCAGUUAUUUUAAUUAGUUUUGCAGAUUAAUACAUAAUUCUGAUAUUUAUAGUAAUUCUAUAUUUUAAUUAAUAAUAGUUUGGUUUAUUUUAUUUUGGAAUGUUAUUUUCCCCGCUUUAAGUUAUUAUGCCUAGAGACCUUUACUUUGAAAGGCGGCUUGGCGGAAAUGAAAAAACUGACCGCUUGAGUGAACAGGCGCAUACACGGAAGAUCGCAGACAGACGGAGACACGGAACCAUGCGGUUACGGAUUCACGGAGCGUGAUAAUAGUAUUAAGGAUACUUUAAAGUAAAUUAGGCAUCUAGUCUCUAUUUGUUGUUUUAUUUUUGUAGUAUCUUUCUUUAUUGUUUAGCACCUGGUUGGAAAGGAGAACAAGCUCUUACGGUGUUGUGACGGUGUUGUGACGGUGUUGUGGAAUUAAUAAGAACAAUAAACAAAGAGAAGAAAUAGUACAACAUCAGUGGAGGAGCUAAAUCCUUUAUUAUUUCAACCGGGCUGUUACACU